rnacentral:rRNA from 1 species
AUACGUAGGGGGCGAGCGUUGUCCGGAAUGAUUGGGCGUAAAGGGCGCGUAGGCGGCCCGGUAAGUCUGGAGUGAAAGUCCUGUUUUUAAGAUGGGAAUUGCUUUGGAUACUGUCGGGCUUGAGUGCAGGAGAGGUAAGUGGAAUUCCCAGUUUUGCGGUGAAAUGCGUAGAGAUUGGGAGGAACACCUGUGGCGAAGGCGACUUACUGGACUGUAACUGACGCUGAGGCGCGAAAGUGUGGGGAGCAAACAGGAUUAGAUACCCUGGUAGUCCACACUGUAAACGAUGAAUGCUAGGUGUAGGGGGUAUCGACCCCUUCUGUGCCGCAGUCAACACAAUAAGCAUUCCGCCUGGGGAGUACGGCCGCAAGGUUGAAACUCAAAUGAAUUGACGGGG